rnacentral:rRNA from 1 species
UUCCAGACUCCUACGGGAGGCAGCAGUGGGGAAUAUUGCACAAUGGGCGAAAGCCUGAUGCAGCAACGCCGCGUGAAGGAAGACGGUUUUCGGAUUGUAAACUUCUGUUCUUAGUGAAGAAUAAUGACGGUAACUAAGGAGCAAGCCACGGCUAACUACGUGCCAGCAGCCGCGGUAAUACGUAGGGGGCAAGCGUUAUCCGGAUUUACUGGGUGUAAAGGGAGCGUAGACGGCCAGACAAGUCAGAAGUGAAAGCCCAGGGCUCAACCCUGGGACUGCUUUUGAAACUGUCCGGCUAGAGUGCAGGAGAGGUAAGCGGAAUUCCUAGUGUAGCGGUGAAAUGCGUAGAUAUUAGGAGGAACACCAGUGGCGAAGGCGGUCUGCUGGACAGCAACUGACGCUGAGGCGCGAAAGCGUGGGGAGCAAACAGGAUUAGAUACCCUAGUA